AUUGAACGCUGGCGGCAUGCUUUACACAUGCAAGUCGAACGGUAACAGGGUGCUUGCACCGCUGACGAGUGGCGAACGGGUGAGUAAUGCGUCGGAACGUGCCGAGUAGUGGGGGAUAACGCAGCGAAAGUUGUGCUAAUACCGCAUACGUACUGAGGUAGAAAGUGGGGGACCUUCGGGCCUCACGCUAUUCGAGCGGCCGACGUCUGAUUAGCUAGUAGGUGAGGUAAAGGCUCACCUAGGCGACGAUCAGUAGCGGGUCUGAGAGGAUGAGCCGCCAAACUGGGACUGAGAAACGGCCCAGACUCCUACGGGAGGCAGCAGUGGGGAAUAUUGGACAAUGGGCGAAAGCCUGAUCCAGCCAUGCCGCGUGUCUGAAGAAGGCCUUCGGGUUGUAAAGGACUUUUGUCAGGGAGGAAAUCCCUAGUGCUAAUAACACUGGGGGAUGACAGUACCUGAAGAAUAAGCACCGGCUAACUACGUGCCAGCCGCCGCCGUAA
rnacentral:rRNA from 1 species